UACGUAGGGUGCAAGCGUUGUCCGGAAUUAUUGGGCGUAAAGAGCUCGUAGGCGGUCUGUCGCGUCUGCUGUGAAAACCCGAGGCUCAACCUCGGGCCUGCAGUGGGUACGGGCAGACUAGAGUGCGGUAGGGGAGAAUGGAAUUCCUGGUGUAGCGGUGGAAUGCGCAGAUAUCAGGAGGAACACCGGUGGCGAAGGCGGGUCUCUGGGCCGAUACUGACGCUGAGGUGCGAAAGCGUGGGGAGCAAACAGG
rnacentral:rRNA from 1 species